AGCAGCCGCGGUAAUUCCAGCUCCAAUAGCGUAUAUUAAAGUUGUUGCAGUUAAAAAGCUCGUAGUUGAAUUUCGGGGUUAGUAGGUUGGUCAUGCCUCUGGUAUGUACUGGUCUCACUGAUUCCUCCUUCCUGAUGAACCUUAAUGCCAUUAAUUUGGUGUUUUGGGGAAUUUGGACUGUUACUUUGAAAAAAUUAGAGUGUUUAAAGCAAGCUAACGCUUGAAUACAUUAGCAUGGAAUAAUGAAAUAGGACGUUCGAUCCUAUUUUGUUGGUUUCUAGGAUUGACGUAAUGAUUAAUAGGGAUAGUUGGGGGCAUUAGUAUUCAAUUGUCAGAGGUGAAAUUCUUGGAUUUAUUGAGGACUAACUACUGCGAAAGCAUUUGCCAAGGAUGUUUUCAUUAAUCAAGAACGAAAGUUAGGGGAUCGAAGACGAUCAGAUACCGUCGUAGUCUUAACCAUAAACUAUGCCGACUAGGGAUCGGAUGAUGUUAAUUUUUAAUGACUCAUUCGGCGCCUUAC
rnacentral:rRNA from 1 species